GAUGAACGCUGGCGGCGUGCUUAACACAUGCAAGUCGAACGGAAAGGCCACGCUUUGCUGUGGUACUCGAGUGGCGAACGGGUGAGUAACACGUGAGUGACCUGCCCUGUACUUUGGGAUAAGUUCGGGAAACUGGGGCUAAUACCGGAUAGGAGUUCCAGGUGCGUGGGGGGGGGGGGAGAUUUUGCGGUGUGGGAUGAGCUCGCGGCUUAUCAGCUUGUUGGUGGGGUAGUGGCUUACCAAGGCGUUGACGGGUAGCCGGCCUGAGAGGGUGUCCGGCCACAUUGGGACUGAGAUACGGCCCAGACUCCUACGGGAGGCAGCAGUGGGGAAUAUUGCACAAUGGGCGGAAGCCUGAUGCAGCGACGCCGCGUGCGGGAUGACGGCCUUCGGGUUGUAAACCGCUUUCGCCAGGGACGAAGCGAGAGUGACGGUAAUUGGUUAAGAAGCACCGGCUAACUACGUG
rnacentral:rRNA from 1 species